rnacentral:lncRNA from 1 species
ACCUGGUUGAUGCUUUGACAUUUGUUCUUCAUUUUUUAAAAAUUGUUUUGAUAUUACUUGUCAAAAAAAUGAAUAAUAAGCUUUGACACUAGGAAGUGAUUCAGAUUAGAGUUGUAAGACUUUAGGAUUAGUACAUGACUUAAGAAAGAGUAGAUAAGUGAUAAUUUGCACUUAUUUUAGCCUUGGCCUGGAUUUGUAAAACAUUUACUUGUGCCCCUUGAAUGAGGAAACUUGAUGGAGUUAUCAAACUCUCGUUGCCUUUAGAAGCUAUAAGCCCUUAAAAACUCACUUAACCAAAGGUCAUUUGUGGCCUUGCAUAUGAAGUCUGAACUUCUAAACUCAAAAUUCUGUCCAAGUUCACUACAUUUAUACACCACUUUUUUUUUUAUGACCGUGGUGUCUGGGCCAACUUUCGCGCACCUCGACUAAUUCCACGGGAUAACUGCCGCCUCCCACCAGCAACAGGUACCAGGUAACUUUGUCCACCAAUGCUGUGACAUUUAUACACCACUUUUAUACAGGUGAAAACCUUUUAUUUUAUCAAAAAAUUAAAUUUUAGCCAAAGGUGCCUCUGACUUACCUUAGGAAGAUUUUGUUACAGUUGUAAUAAUUUGUUAGGCUUAUUCUUUUGGAUAGAAAGGAAAUUUCGCUAGUUAGAAUAGAUGUCACUAAGAAGAGUUUAAGCUGGAGAUGACUAAUUCUACUUUGUCUGGGAUCUCUCGAGGAGGUUAUCAAAGGCGAAAAGCGCAAAAAAGCUCUAAGGUCCGUUGGGGCUUUAAGUGCAAAAAAGCUCUAAGGUCCAUUGGGACUUUAAGCGCAAAUAAAGUGUGGCUUUAAUGAAAAAAGGCGCGAAGGGAGAAAAAAUACAAAUAUAUUUGUUUAGUUCAAGACUAAUAAUUAUAAACAUGAUUGAAAAGUAUAUGAACAAAGAUUGAAAAAAGAUUAAGAUAAAGUGGAAUAUCAAUUGUUUAGUGUCACCUCUUCUGAAGAAGCUCAUUGACAAGGAAAAAUAUGUCUUAGAACCUUGAUGACGACACUGAAGCGCACAUAAAGUGAGGCGAAGAGCUCAACACGUUUUGAGCCUUGCUUGAGGGCUUAAGCACGCCUUUGACAACACUGGCUCGAGAUAGAGAUGUGGCCAUAUGGAGGUUGCAACCCACUUAUUAUGUACUAAAUUCAAGGUGAUUUUAGAAUUUACUGGUUCUGCACUCUGUCCCUCUACACCAUUCACUGGCAAGUGUCGGCAAGGUGCUAUUUCCUUGAACCUUAUGUUUUCAGCUAUGAUCAAGUCUUGGAGUUUAGUAGCUAAAAACCUCAUCAGAUGAGUGUGAGAGAACAAAAUAUCCCUUAAAUAUUCUUGCAAAACAAUUACAUUGUUAAUGUUAGAAUUGCAUAGUUUGUUAAGCUAAUGUACCAAGGACUUGAAUUUUUCU